GUUCUCACCUCUCCCCUUCCGUUGGCAGCGACGGCGCGGGCAGGAGCGGCACCUACGUCCUGAUCGACAUGGUUCUCAACAAGAUGGCCAAAGGAAUGAAUCGCAUGGGGACCAAAGAACGCCUUUCCCAAGCCUUGCCGAGUGCGCCACGCUGACACCGGAGCCCCUGGAUCCGGACGGCAGGGCCCGGGAGCGCGUGCGGCCCGGAGCGGAGCCCCGCGCGUUCACACGGGGCCCUCAGGGAUUAAGGCCCUCGUCCUCUUCAGGGCCCUUGGAGAAUGAGCGAGGCGCGAUUCACGUGCUUUCUCCACCGUCUGGUUUGUUAGCAGGCGGACGACAAUGCCGUUUGGAAUCCAAGCGAGCGGCCCCCGGCCCCCCGCCAGACCCGUAAACACCUUCGUCGCGUCCCUGCCGCCGCUGCCAGGGCGCUUCCAGCUCCGUCCGUCCGUCCGUCCGUCCCGCAUCAGCAUAGCCCGGGGAGCGCGCUCCUCCCGCUCGGGAGACCUCGGCUCGCGUGCAGCCGAGACGUUUUCCAAAGCUGUGCCUUCUCCGUGCGUCAGUGACGUCUCGCCCACGUUUGGGUUUUUUUCUUGCGAUCUUUUAGAGGAAUUGUAAGGCGGACGGUGCCUCCCCACGGCCGUAUUUGCCGGGUCACCGUGAGGUGGUGGCAGCCGGCUGUGUCACUCGUGCGGGGCCGCGACCGACCCCACCCCCCGAGCGCCCCGCUGCACGGCCCUGAGUGAACACCACCGCCCGCCCGCCGCGCCCGCGUGUGUGUGGGCAGGCCCGAGUGCGGCACACUGUGCAGGUGUGGACGACUCUUAACUCUUCGGUGUGUGUCCCUCUGGGCCUCGUGUGUGAGCACACACCCUUUGCGUUCAUCCGGCCAGUGACAACUACGUUCUCCCGAAAGCGAUACGUAAUCCGUGUGGGAAACACACAGAGUGUUUUUUAAAAGAUCUGUCCCCAACUUUGUUUCUUACGUAUUGACACUGAAAGUGGUCAUCCCACAACGGCCCUGCGGACUUAACACUUUCAUUACCAUUUGUCAGGUAAAGACAUUUGGGCUUCCCCCACCCGAGGUCACGCAGCCGCCACAUGACCUAGCCGGGAGGUGAACCCAGGCUCGUCUGACAGCCCGUGUCCUUGAUAACGAUGCCCUAUGGUUGCCUCUUCCCUGACAACAAACAGACCCGCCCCUUUUUUAAAGUCUGCCCUGAAUUGUCUGGUAUAAGGAAUACACCCGUUACAAUGGCUGUUAUUUAAAAAAAAAAAAAAAAAAAAGGUUUUCCCCUACGU